AGGAGGCUAGAACCAGCCUGGCACCCCCCUCCUGCCCCCCCCAUCUGCCAGCUGUGGGCCUCCAUCCUCAAAGCUGAGGGUUCACUUGCUGGACCCAGCUGGGGAGUGAGUCGGCCUGGGUGCUGGAGGGCCGAAGCUCUGUGACAGCCACCGUGCCUGCCCAGAGGAGGGGGAUGCCUACUGUACUGUCAAUUUGGGGUUAAGGUCACUUCAACCCAAAGCUGCUGGGCGAUAGGAGCCCAGCUUUGCCAGAAGGCAAUGAAGGCUGGGCUGUUAGCAACACAUAAGUUUCCAAGGCCUGUGAUGCCUAAUCGCAGGGGUGCAGCGUGGCACGUACAGCACAGCUGGGCAGGAGAGGGCCAGGCAGGACAUGGUUCAACAUGGUGGACGUACGUCAACCACGGAAGGAGGUGGGCAGCAAAGAGAGAUGGUGCUGGGCCCCCAGCCCCACCCCGCCCAGCUCGGCCUUCCCUCCGAUCCACCCCCUACAAAGCAGCUGGACCCUGGCCGGACCAAGGAGAGGCUCAUAGCUGGCACCCAGGAGUAUAUCCUCCACAGAGGUACCCGACGCCCCGGGCAAGGACACACAUGCGGAGCCAGAGCGAGCCUCCCACCUCCACAGGCACGAGGGGCCGCGAUGGAACCAGCCCUCUGUGCAGAAAGUUCUGUACUCAACCCCAUCUGGGCUUCCUGCUGCAACCUCCGGGGUCCUGGAGAGGUGGGUGACCCUGCACACGGAACCAGGGAAGGCAGGGGGCAAGGUCAGUCUGCGCAAGGAGCCAGCAGCAGACCCCAGCUCGGUGCGCUGCUUGCUGUGUGUGUCUGCAUGCGUACGAUGACAGUGGCAGCUGGUAGCCACAACGCGUCAGCAGCUUCCAAUGGAGCCAAAGGACUGUGUCUACACUGCAGGGUCAGGCUGAGCCGAUAGGGUCAAGAUUCAAGCUGGCCCUGUCAGCAGCCCCUGCGCCCACCCCCAUGUUUCCUGGCUCUGUCAAGACAAAAUAAAACCAACCAACCAACCAACAAAAAGUCCCCAAGUGGUGCAGACUCUGUCUUGUGGACUUUACCUCUGGCCGGGCCUACUGAAGGCAGGGACCCUGCACCUCUGCUCAGCUCACAUGCACCUGGAAGUGAGCACGGAGCUCCCCCCAUCUCUGGCCUCGACAUGAGGGGCCACACGAGUGUUAAGGGUCUGUGUGCCCAGACCCACACCAGACCCCAGGAGGGAGCAAAGAGUCUCGGCUGAGAGGACACUAAGGGAGCACAAUGAUAUGGUUAGAAGAACCGGCCUCGGGCUUCUUCACAGCGCAACACAGACACAACCGUUUGUACGACACUUGGGAGUACAGGAGCAGGGGCCCCCGGCCAUCCUGCGCUGGCCCUGUCACCUUCAACCUGAAGGGAUCACCAUCUUGAUCCACAUAACCCACGGAAACCUCUGAGUCAGAGCAAGCGUUCUGGAGCAAGCCAGUCCCCGGUUCCAAGGCCAGCACCGUCACUUGGUGGUGAUAAGAUCUCGGGCAAGUUCCUUGUUCAGCAUCUACAGAAUACAGAGCACAACACCUACCUUCCGAGGCUGGGCCAAGGAUGAAGUAAUGACCCACGCAGAGCACCUACCGGCACACGUCUGGGGGAAAGCAGAGGCUGGAGCACCAGCUGGCAGCUACUGACCUGGGCCACAGCGAGGGACUGCCCGGGAGCCCAAGAUAAAGACCUGGUGCCUCUAGGCCGGGAUGUGCACUUGACAAAAUGACUGAAUUGUCUAAUUAAAGGAUCUGUGGAACUCA